rnacentral:rRNA from 1 species
AUUGAACGCUGGCGGCAUGCCUAACACAUGCAAGUCGAACGGCAGCGCGGGUAGCUUGCUACCUGGCGGCGAGUGGCGGACGGGUGAGUAAUAUGUAGGAAUCUACCUAGAGGAGCGGGAUAACUUGGGGAAACUCAAGCUAAUACCACAUAAUCCCCACGGGGGAAAGCAGGGGACCUUCUGGCCUUGCGCCUUAUGAUGAGCCUACAUCGGCUUAGCUUGUUGGGGGGGUAAAGGCCUACCAAGGCGACGAUCCGUAGCUGGUCUGAGAGGAUGAUCGGCCACACUGGAACUGAGACACGGUCCAGACUACUACGGGAGGCAGCAGUGGGGAAUAUUGGACAAUGGGGGGAACCCUGAUUCAGCAAUGCCGCGUGUGUGAAGAAGGCCUUAGGGUUGUAAAGCACUUUCAGUGGAGAGGAAGUUGCGUGUGCUAAUAUCAUACGUAAUUGACGUUACCCACAGAAGAAGCACCGGCUAACUCUGUGCCAGCCGCCGCUGUAA